UCAGAAUGCACGUGUAUGUGAUGGAGUUCACGUCUGCGACGCACACGCGAAGCAUGGCACAAGAAAUCACGAAGUCUACAGCUUCAAAUAUUUCUUCCGACGCGCUCGUAAACACAACACACACUUCCUGCGCUCCGUCUGUUUCUGUUGGCGAUCGCACGCACUGAUGAGGUCUGGAAGCGUACACCGGCUUGCUUCUUCCGAUGACUAUCUCCGUGGGUGCCACAUAUCUCUGGUAAAAAUCACAAACAGGAGAAAAAAAUAGACUGUUUCUGACGCGGCUGUAGCCUAGGCCUUGCGUCCCUGCUUCGCUCCGCUUCGAGCACGCGCCAUGUUUGCUGUGACGACAGCCAAACUAUCCGCCUCGGACCAGCCAAUGGGAGACGAGCAGGCGGCCGGACGGGAAACUUGCGUCCGCUCUUCGCUCGCCAGUAGAGAGCUAUCCGCACGCGACCGGACGAGGGCGGAACGGACGUGCGGAGCGACCAUGUACGGGCCCUAAGAUGGAGCGUGUUGUGCGCACAGAGCGCCGAGCGAACCAUGGUUCCGGUAUUCUUUCUCCUCAUGUGCCUAUACCUACUGCCGCUCAUCACGUCCGGACCGAACGCAAAGGCCUACUUUGAGAGCGUGCACGAAGACUUCCGAAACCAGUGGCUGUUUCUGCUGCUACAAGUGCAAAACUACUGCUUCGAAAUUAACCCUGACACCCGAAUGUUCCCCCACCUGUGGUACCUAUCCGUAGACUUCCAAUUAUUCCUUCUGAGCCUGGCGAUACUUCUGCUGCUGAAGGA